UACAGAGGUCCCAAGCGUUGUUCGGAUUCACUGGGCGUAAAGGGUGCGUAGGCGGUCGGGUAAGUCUGAUGUGAAAUCUCACAGCUUAACUGUGAAACUGCAUUGGAUACUAUUCGGCUUGAGAGUUGGAGGGGGACUGGAAUUCUUGGUGUAGCAGUGAAAUGCGUAGAUAUCAAGAGGAACACCAGUGGCGAAGGCGAGUCCCUGGACAACUUCUGACGCUGAGGCACGAAAGCUAGGGAGCAAACAGG
rnacentral:rRNA from 1 species